rnacentral:misc_RNA from 2 species
UCGAGUUAGGGUCCUCGUGGCCCGACCUCCAACCCUUUGUCUACUCAACCACGUUGCUUCGGUGGGCCCGCGCAAGCCGCCGGGGGCGCCUUCGGGCACCCUGGCCAGCGCCCACCGGUGGCCAUUUCUAAACUCUUGAUUAAACGUGACCUGUCUAAGUCAAAAUUAUAAUAAGCAAA